GAUGAGAUAUCCCGGAGUCUUGAACUCCUUGAAGGGUCGUCGAAGACCACGACGUUGAUAGGUCAGGUGUGGAAGCGCAGUAAUGCGUUAAGCUAACUGAUACUAAUUGCCCGUACGGCUUGAUCCU
rnacentral:rRNA from 1 species